CACGUAGGGCGCAAGCGUUGUCCGGAAUUAUUGGGCGUAAAGAGCUCGUAGGCGGUCUGUUGCGUCUGCUGUGAAAACCCGGGGCUUAACCCCUGGCUUGCAGUGGAUACGGACAGACUAGAGGUAGGUAGGGGAGACUGGAAUUCCUGGUGUAGCGGUGAAAUGCGUAGAUAUCGUGAGGAAGACCAGUGGCGAAGGCGGAUCUCUGGACAGUUCCUGACGCUGAGGCACGAAGGCCAGGGGAGCAAACGGG
rnacentral:rRNA from 1 species